rnacentral:ncRNA from 2 species
GAAUCCGCGAAGGGAGAACCGGUCAUACCGGUGCCGAAGGAGCAACCGCCCCGGAAACUCUCAGGCCCAAAGGACCUUUGCGGGUGA